rnacentral:lncRNA from 1 species
UGGGAUUUUAUAAAGGAAGUUGGGGAAAAAGAAAGGGGCAAUGUGGUUGUGGUUGUGGGGGAGUGCGCGGUCAAUGCGGGAUUUGACUGAGGCGCCGCCCAAGCGAGUGAGAGAGAGGGGACAAUAUGAUAACGUUGUUUGUCUUGUGAUACGUGGCACGCGGGAUUAUCGAGACAAGCGGCGGGCUUGAGGUACUCUUUCAUCCGUGCCGGCAUUUGCCUAACGGUGUCGUUAUUGCCUCCCUUGACUUUUUGCGUGAUUUUUAUAUACAUGUACACACGCUCUCUCUCAAACGCGCAAACAUUAAACACCACGCUCCUAUCCUAUGCUUGCAUUUAUUUUAUUUUAUUUAUAAACAUCCCCUUAAAAUAUAUAUAUUUGCGUGUUUGUGAAUGUAUAAUAUUAAUUAUUAAUUAUCAGCUAUAUGUCAAGAAAUGUUUUGAAAUGACUUUUAGAUUUGCUAGAGCUUUUCUUUGAAGUUGCAUAUUGUAUUCAUGGAUUGCCUAUUAAAACCCUCCCAAUGCAGAAAUUUAUUCUUUUAGGAUAUAAAUUAAACCUUGAUUCUUUAAUUAAAAUCACUUAUUACAUAAUUAAGCAAAACAUUUUACUUGCAUUUUUUGUUAUUUAUCUAUAAAUAUUAUCCUUUUUUUUUUUAAUAGAUGAGCAUACGAGACGUGAUUUAAUCAGAUUUUUAUAAGGUGCCGAUAUUAUUAUACUAUAAUUAAUGAAUACCAUCAAAAUAUUAAAUUGAUUUUCCACCUCAGUAAAAGACAGGAUUAUAGAUCAUAGAAAGUUUAAUGCACGCCACAGUUAAUGGCGUGAGAAAGUAAUAAAGGUUUUGAGUGGAUUAGCUGACGAUUAAUUCUUAACAUCUGUCAGUGUUGUCAGCCAUCGCCGUCUCUCUCUGAAUUAAAUUUAAACCUAUGGAAUCGCUCUUUUAGACCGACAGCUAAAAGAAGUGAUCAUAACAACUACUUAAAAUGCGCCACGCGUCCCUUUUUAUGCUCGACGCGUCCUUAACGCCAGCUCCCCCGUCAAUUGUUUCGGUGUUAUCGCCUAAUUGCGACUGUCUUUGUCCAGUGACAGAUUUUCUUUGAGCGCGUGGAUUUGAAAUGACUCUUACUACCGUGUUGAUGCGCGUGCAGUGUAGUGAACGUAGUACUCUCUUUGCGAUUGGGGAUUGAUCAAAACGAGAUCCCGGAGCACGUGAGCCGUGCCAAACAAAAUAGUUAGUUAAUAUAUGAAUUUUUUUUUUCCGUAUAGAUAAUUAAGAUAUAUAAAUUCAGCACAAAUUGAUGAUGAAUCGAGAUUCUAAGCCAUUAAACAGCUAAGAUACCGCACUUUACUGACACGUGUUAUGCGUCGGCUGCUUAAAGUUGUUGAACAGUGUUAGCUAAUAAGAGUAGAGAUGGCAAUGGGUGCAACAGUAAUCGGCACGAUACGAAUAUAUUUCGACAGGGCACGUGGCACGAUAUGAUAUAUAUGUGGGCUGCACUGAGUCAGAUUUAGAAUUUUAGGCACGCCGGCCUUAAAAGUAAGGCACAAUUAGAGAUGAGUUAAGCAUAGCACGAUAAAAAAGGUCCGUAAUAAACACGUUUUAUGUUUAAUGAAGGUAAAUUUAAAAUUUUAUAAUUUUAUAAAUAGCUUGAAAUUAAAUUUUUUAAAUUUAUUUAAUUCUUAUCUUCUUCCCGGGGUCUCUUAUCUCGGCAGCGUAUCGGCCCCAAGGCCUCUUUCUAACUCCUCUGUAAUGCACCUCUUUCUUAUUGUUGCUCCUGUUGUCAAUGUUUUUCCUGUUGCCACUAAUUGUUCUCUCUUUUGGUGCCAUUGUUUUUUUUUUUCUUUCUGUUUUUCCCUUUGAAAGUGUGUGCUGUUUUUGUUUUGGAGAGGAAAGGGGGGGCAAAUUGUGGGAUUUUAUAAAGGAAGUUGGGGAAAAAGAAAGGGGCAAUGUGGUUGUGGUUGUGGGGGAGUGCGCGGUCAAUGCGGGAUUUGACUGAGGCGCCGCCCAAGCGAGUGAGAGAGAGGGGACAAUAUGAUAACGUUGUUUGUCUUGUGAUACGUGGCACGCGGGAUUAUCGAGACAAGCGGCGGGCUUGAGGUACUCUUUCAUCCGUGCCGGCAUUUGCCUAACGGUGUCGUUAUUGCCUCCCUUGACUUUUUGCGUGAUUUUUAUAUACAUGUACACACGCUCUCUCUCAAACGCGCAAACAUUAAACACCACGCUCCUAUCCUAUGCUUGCAUUUAUUUUAUUUUAUUUAUAAACAUCCCCUUAAAAUAUAUAUAUUUGCGUGUUUGUGA